GAUGAACGCUAGCUACAGGCUUAACACAUGCAAGUCGAGGGGCAGCAUGGUCUUAGCUUGCUAAGACUGAUGGCGACCGGCGCACGGGUGAGUAACACGUAUCCAACCUGGCCCAUACUCGGGUAUAGCCUCUCGAAAGGGAGAUUAAUCCCCGAUGUUGUUGUUAUGUCGCAUGAUGUUUCAACCAAAGAAUUUCGGUAUGGGAUGGGGAUGCGUUCCAUUAGCUUGUUGGCGGGGUAACGGCCCACCAAGGCGACGAUGGAUAGGGGUUCUGAGAGGAAGGUCCCCCACACUGGAACUGAGACACGGUCCAGACUCCUACGGGAGGCAGCAGUGAGGAAUAUUGGUCAAUGGGCGUAAGCCUGAACCAGCCAAGUAGCGUGAAGGAUGACUGCCCUAUGGGUUGUAAACUUCUUUAUAUGGGAACAAUGUGCUCUACGUGUAGAGUUUUGCGUGUACCAUAUGAAUAAGCAUCGGCU
rnacentral:rRNA from 1 species